GACGAACGCUGGCGGCGUGCUUAACACAUGCAAGUCGAACGGAAAGGCCCUGCUUUUGUGGGGUGCUCGAGUGGCGAACGGGUGAGUAACACGUGAGUAACCUGCCCUUGACUUUGGGAUAACUUCAGGAAACUGGGGCUAAUACCGGAUAUGAGCUCCUGCUGCAUAGUGGGGGUUGGAAAGUUUCGGCGGUUGGGGAUGGACUCGCGGCUUAUCAGCUUGUUGGUGGGGUAGUGGCUUACCAAGGCUUUGACGGGUAGCCGGCCUGAGAGGGUGACCGGCCACAUUGGGACUGAGAUACGGCCCAGACUCCUACGGGAGGCAGCAGUGGGGAAUAUUGCACAAUGGGCGGAAGCCUGAUGCAGCAACGCCGCGUGCGGGAUGACGGCCUUCGGGUUGUAAACCGCUUUCGCCUGUGACGAAGCGUGAGUGACGGUAAUGGGUAAAGAAGCACCGGCUAACUACGUG
rnacentral:rRNA from 1 species